rnacentral:lncRNA from 1 species
GCCAGAUAAGGGAAGCAGGCCUCCGAAGCCAGCAGUGGCAACCCACUUGGGUCCCUUUCAAUGCUGUGGAAGCGUUGUUCUUUCACUCUUCUCAAUAAAUCUUGCUGCUGCUCACUCUUUGGGUCUGCCCCGCUGUUAUGAGCUGUAACACUCACAGCCAGUGUCUGCAGUUUCACUCCUGAAGCCAGCAAGACCACAAACCCACAGGGCGGGACAAACAACUCCGGACAGGAGGAAUGAACAACUCUGGACGCGCCACUUCUAUGAACUUUUAUGAACUGUAACACUCACCGCAAAGGUCUGCAGCUUCACCCCUGAGGCCAGGGAGACCACGAACCCACCGGAAGGAAUGAACAACUCCAGACGCACUGCCUUUAAGAGCUGUAACACUUACCACGGAUGUCUGCAGCUUCACUCCUGAAGUCAGCGAGACCACAAACCCAACAGAAGGAAGAAACUCCCGACACAUCUGAACAUCUGAAGGAACAAACUCUGGACACACCAUCUUUAAGAACUGUAACACUCACCGUGAGGGUCAACCGCUUCAUUCUUGAAGUCAGCCAGACCAAGAACCCACCAAUUCCGAGUCUCACUUUGUUGCCUAAGCUAGAGUGCAGCGUCGUGAUCAAGGCUCACUGCAGCCUCAACAUCCUGAUCCCCAGUGUUCCUCCCACCUCAACCUCCCAAGUAGCUGGGACCACAGAUGAAUGCCAGAUGCCUCUAGUGAGCCACCUUGAAUCACUAUUCUGAAUACAUCUUGAGUAAAAAGAGAAAAUUGCUCAUGUUUCCAUGUCUAUCUGAAUCAUGUUAUUGGACCAUGAGAGCAAGCAGCUGGAUCUCAUUCUGUCCAGUGACAGGGUCUCACUCUGUCACCGAUGCUGGAGUACAGUUGCAAAAGAUCAUCGCUCACUGUAGCCUUGACCUCCUGGGCACAAGCCAUGCUCUACCGGAGCCACUGCCCCUAGUUAUGGUUCCUGUGUCACACUGAUGCAAGAGAUGGGAUACCAUGGCUUUGGGAAGCUCCACUCCUAUGGCUUGGCAGCGUACAGCCUCCCUUCUGGCUGCUUUCACAGGUUGGUGUUGAGUGCAGCUUUUCCAGGAUUUUGUGAGUAACCAGCUUUAAUUUGGAAAACCUAGACUUCUACAUACAGAUUGUUAUGUUUGGAACAGUGGCUCAUGCCUGUAAUCCCAGAACUUUGGGAGGCCCAGACGAGCGGAUCACCUAGGUCAGGAGUUGAGGCCAGCCUGGUCAACAUGGCAAAACCUCAUCUCUACUAAAAGUACAAAAAUUAUCCGGGCGUGGUUGUGGGCACCUGUAUUCUCAGGUACUUGGGAGACUGAGGCAGCAGAAUCGCUUGAACCCAGGAAGCAGAGGUUGCAGUGAGCCGAGAUCAGGCUGCUGCACUCUAGCCUGUGUGAUAGAGUGAGUGAGACUGUGUCUCAAAAAACAAAAAACAAAACAAAAAAACUUUCAAUUUAUUUUCCAGAGGUCUAUUUUUAAUUUAGUAACAAGAUUUUAAAAAAUAUAUAUAAAAUUAAAUAACAGUAGAAAGUUAGAACUAGGCCCUAUAAAAUAUAAAAUUGUCAAAAUUGGUUAGCAUGAUUGUAGCUUCAAGGAUCAUAUUGUUAAUGUGACAACUUCUGAAACCAAACAUCAUCAUGCUUGGCAUCAAGAGCUAAAGUAGUCAUGAGUUAAUGGAGAAGAACAACUAAGGAAUUGGCUGGUGAAGUAAAGUUUAUGCUAAAUUUAAUUGAAAUGAAAUAACAAAGCAGUUUGAAACGAACAUUCCAUUGAUUAUUUUUAAAAUUUUAUUUAUUAACAAAAUAGCUUAUACUAACUGCCCACUCUCUAUCCCAAUAGUCACAGCAAUAACAUAUAGUUAACAUUUGUAAUUAAAUAUUUCAUUUCAUACAAAUAGUAUUUUAAAAUUCAAGUGUUGAUUUUUAAGCCUUUGAAUGUUUGGCUGUUUAAAAUUUAAGUGCAUAUAAAAAAUUGUAGAAAAGGGUCAUUAUUAAUAAAAUAUUCAAAAUAUGGUAAAUUAUGCAUGAUGAUUUAAUAUAUGCAAAUUGACAAGUGAUGUGAAUAGUACAUUUGAAUAGAGAAAAUAUGUACAUAAAUGAAUGGUAUUUCAGAAUCUAAGCAAAUUGAUGACUCCAUUAUGUACUUGUCCCCAAUGUAAAUGAAAUAUUAAUUAGAAAACUUUUUUUUCACUAAAGGGCUGAACAUAAAGUGUGAUGGCAAAUUGGUGUGUUCUUGUAUUUCUUGUCUUUAAGAAUUCUUUUCAAUAUAUUUUCACUUAAUGUUUUAGCAACACUUUUCAUCAUCCUUUUACACUUAUAGCUGGACUAUGCUUAGUGAUAGAAAAUAGUUAUAUAAUGGGAUUAUACUUGGCCAUAUGAAUUUGACGGUAUGAGUUAAUCUAUGUUUCAUCUUACUUGUGUCUACUUGUAAGUCAUUGAUGCUAAUGUUAUUAGUAAUUUUUAUUGGGUAGAAAUAUUUUCUAUAUGACAUUUUUGAGAAAAAGAAGUCAAUAAAUCCCAUUUGAUAUGCAACAGAAAUAAAGAUCUCUUAUUUCAAUUUUAAAAUGCUUUAUAACUUACAUUGCUUUGUUUUAUGCAGUAUUUGUUUUGAUCAGAUGCAAAAUGAGCCAGUAAUGGCAUCUAACCACAAGUUUGAUAUAUUUUUUUAAAGAAAAAUUUCCAAAAUACUAUAACUGAGCAAUAGGCUAAUACUUCAUAAAUUAAAAUAUUUAAAUAUUCAAUCUUUCUGAGUGGAUAUUUGUUGCAUAUCUGAUAACUUGGCCUAAUUCUGUAAUUGGGAUGAGAACUACCCAAUUUUAUUGGUAACCUCUUUUCUGCUCUGCAACUUUGGAAAUAAUAUGGAGGACUUCAAAUUCAUUUGAGACAAAAAUAUUAAAAAUGUAACCCCUGAUUAGGAUUUCAGUUCCAAAGCUCUCCUUGGAGGGAUAUAGAGCUGGAGACAAUCAAUCACAUUUAUUUUUCAUCUCCUUAAUAUUGAUAUAUAAAAGUCAGGUUAAAAUUAGUAUCAAAAUGGGAAGCCUGCAUUGUAAACUGGCUGGAAUAAUACACUCUGCAAUAUGAAGGAAAAAGGAAAAAUUUAGUUGAUUCAUUUACUUAACUAUAAUUUUUUAAAGAAUUUUAAGUUUCUAAUAAAUUUAACUAUAAAUUUUUAAUUUUCUAUCUUUCAUUUAGUACCAUCUAUAUAAACUUUUCCAGGCUACUUCUCUGAAUCACCUGGCAAAAUCUUAUAAUUUACCACCUAACUGAAUAAAACACACACACACAAAAUAAUCUAUUUUUAAUAAUAAACAUCAUUUAUAAUUACGUUGUUGAGAUUGAGAGUAAUCAUCAGGUGUGGAAAAACUGAGGAAAUUUUAACAAUUUAAAAUGUAAUAAUCUUUUUUGUAUUAUGUGUGUUUUAUACUCAGAAGUGCAUAUGUUUUAUAAAAUUAUGUGAAUUUAUAAGUGUGGUCAAUAUUAAUAUUAAAUUGUAUCUUUUAAUAGUA